rnacentral:rRNA from 1 species
GUGGAUUAGAUACCCUGGUAGUCCACACAGUCAACUAUGUACACUGGAUGUCUGCUCAAAAGAGUGGGUGUCGAAGCAAACGCGAUAAGUGUACCGCCUGGGGAGUAUGCCCGCAAGGGUGAAACUCAAAGGAAUUGACGGGGGCCCGCACAAGCGGUGGAGCAUGUGGUUUAAUUCGAUGGUACGCGAGGAACCUUACCUGGGUUUGACAUACACAGGAAUUAUAUAGAGAUAUAUAAGCGUAGCAAUACGUCUGUGAACAGGUGCUGCACGGCCGUCGCCAGCU